GAGUUUGAUCGUGGCUCAGGACGAACGCUGGCGGCAUGCCUAACACAUGCAAGUCGAACGGGGUUGGAAACAACCCAGUGGCGGACGGGUGCGUAACACGUGAGCAACCUGCCCUUUACAACGGGAUAACACAGAGAAAUUUGUGCUAAUACGGUAUGAGACCACAGCGCGGCAUCGCGGAGUGGUUAAAAGUUCAGGCGGUAAAGGAGGGGCUCGCGGCCCAUUAGAUAGUUGGUGAGGUAACGGCUCACCAAGUCGACGAUGGGUAGCCGACCUGAGAGGGUGAUCGGCCACACUGGAACUGAGAUACGGUCCAGACUCCUACGGGAGGCAGCAGUGGGGAAUAUUGGGCAAUGGAGGCAACUCUGACCCAGCAAUGCCGCGUGAAUGAAGAAGGUCUUCGGAUUGUAAAGUUCUUUAAUCAGGGACGAACAAGGUGACGGUACCUGAGGAAUAAGCCACGG
rnacentral:rRNA from 1 species